GAGCUUGACUCACUGGUAGAGCUAGCUAUGCAACACUUGCUGGUCUCUCAUCUUUGUUGACCUUCAGUAUGUUAAGAGAGGCACCAGGAGAACUUUUCCUGGGGCUGCUGGUGAGCUGAAUUCCUUCUGCUGACUCCUGCUGUUUCAACCGAGGCCUGGCUGUUCCUGCUAGGUCAUGCCACCACUGCUGCUAUCCCAAUACUACUGAACUGGACUGCUGCGGGUGUAUCUGUGAAGUGUUUACAAGUAGAUCGAGCUGCCACUGCUGACCUGUGAACUGAACUGCUGAUUCUCUGACAACGGGGAUGGAAUUUGCUCCAAAGAACCAUUUCCAGUUUGUGACCUGAAAAGAAGCCUAAGGAUGUUUCUACUUUUGCUCAUAAAUGAAGAAAGAGCAGUUGCGGGGCCAAGAAGGAGCCGAUGCCCGGCUUUGCUGUUCCUUUACCUCAGCUGUAAGACCAUAUACACCGCUGCCCAGACCAGGACUGUGAAUCUAACAUUUGACAAUGAGGGAACAACUAUACUUCAGUGUCCCUGUAUCUGGGGACAGGACUGAAAUAAAGAAAGGAACAUGCGUCCUAGCUCAAGACUGAACCCGGGAAAGGUUUGUCCUCUGAGAACAAUGAGAGGCGCGGGGAGGAGCCAGAGUUUCAAAGAAAAAGACUGCGGGGUGAUACACAGUGUUACGGUUUGAGGGUGAAGUGUUCCCCCAAAGACUCACGUGGCAAAGGCUUGGUGACCUAUCAGUGGGUUUGGAGGAAAUGAACAGACUACAGGGUUCAAGCUCCUGAGUGGAUCCAGAAAUUGGUGGAUUAUAUAAAUGAGGAGGUGGGGCCUGGUCGGGUUAUGGAAAUUAGGAGGUGGACCUGGUUAGAUUAUGGAAAUGAAGAGGUGGGGCCUGGUUGGAUUAUGGAAGUGAGGAGGUGGGGCCAGAUUGGGUUAUGGAAAUGAGGAGGUGGGGCCUGGCUGGAGGAUGUAUAGUUCCCCGAGGACAAACCUUUGAUGCCUGAGUCCUAUGAGAGCCUCUUCCUGCCUCAUUUCUGCCUCUGUCACUUGCGGUUGUUCAGCUUUUGGAAAAAAAUUGAGUCAAAAUAAAAACUGCUGCUU
ensembl:lincRNA 2310034O05Rik RIKEN cDNA 2310034O05 gene